rnacentral:rRNA from 1 species
GACCAGGAGGUCAAGUUGUACAUUAACGGUAAAAAGAUAGUUAGACAGAAUAACAGGUUUAAUUUCAUCGUACUAUUAAGAGGUAGAAUUCGAAUAUAGACAAAUAUAUUAAUUAAAACCGUUGUGUUGAAGCUAUGACAACUUUGAGGGAAACUAGGAUUAGAUACCCUAUUAUUCAUAGAUAUAAAUAAGAAAAUUCUACCUGAGUACUAAGAAUAAAAAAUUUAAAACUCAAAGGGCUUGGCGGUGUUUUAGACUACUUAGGGGAACCUGUCUCAUAAUCGACAAUCCACGUUAAACCUAACUUUUUUUUGUAUUCAGCUUGUAUACCGUCGUCGCCAGGUAACUUUUAAGAUAAAAGCAGUUAGCUAACUAAAUACUUAAAUUAGAACGUCAGAUCAAGGUGCAGCUUAUAGAAAAGUGCAGAUGGGUUACAAUUAUCACACUUAUAAUUACGGAUAAUAGCUUUAAAAGCAGUUAAUAAGGAGGACUUAAAAGUAAAAUAGAUUAUAUAAAUAUCUUGAAUAAAGCUCUGAAACGUGU